rnacentral:rRNA from 1 species
UACGUAGGGUGCAAGCGUUGUCCGGAAUUAUUGGGCGUAAAGAGCUCGUAGGCGGUCUGUCGCGUCGGAUGUGAAAACUCGGGGCUCAACCCCGAGCCUGCAUUCGAUACGGGCAGACUAGAGUUCGGUAGGGGAGACUGGAAUUCCUGGUGUAGCGGUGAAAUGCGCAGAUAAUCAGGAGGAACACCGAUGGCGAAGGCAGGUCUCUGGGCCACUACUGACGCUGAGAAGCGAAAGCAUGGGGAGCGAACAGG